rnacentral:rRNA from 1 species
UCCACGCCGUAAACGAUGAGUACUAGGUGUAGGAGGUAUCGACUCCUUCUGUGCCGCAGUUAACACAAUAAGUACUCCGCCUGGGAAGUACGAUCGCAAGAUUAAAACUCAAAGGAAUUGACGGGGGCCCGCACAAGCAGCGGAGCAUGUGGUUUAAUUCGAAGCAACGCGAAGAACCUUACCUAGACUUGACAUCUCCUGAAUUACUCGUAAUGGAGGA